GCGAGGCAGCAGCGGCGGCGGCGGCGGCAGCGGCGGUCGAGGCUGAGGCUGAGGCUGAGGAGGCGGCGGCGGCGGCGGGCGGGGCUCGGCUCGGGCUCCGCGGGCGGGCGGGCGGACAUGGCGGCCAACAUGUACCGGGUCGGAGAUUAUGUCUACUUUGAGAAUUCCUCCAGCAACCCAUACCUAAUAAGAAGAAUAGAAGAACUCAACAAGACUGCAAGUGGCAACGUGGAAGCAAAAGUAGUAUGCUUUUAUAGACGACGUGAUAUUUCCAACACACUUAUAAUGCUCGCAGAUAAGCAUGCUAAAGAAAUUGAGGAAGAAUCUGAAACAACAGUUGAGGCUGACUUGACCGAUAAGCAGAAACAUCAGUUGAAACAUAGGGAACUCUUUUUGUCACGCCAGUAUGAAUCUCUGCCCGCAACACAUAUCAGGGGAAAGUGCAGUGUUGCCCUUCUGAAUGAGACAGAAUCAGUAUUGUCAUAUCUUGAUAAGGAGGAUACCUUCUUCUACUCAUUGGUCUAUGACCCCUCAUUGAAAACACUAUUAGCUGACAAAGGUGAAAUCAGAGUGGGGCCUAGAUAUCAAGCAGACAUUCCAGAAAUGCUGUUAGAAGGAGAAUCAGAUGAGAGGGAACAGUCAAAAUUGGAAGUUAAAGUUUGGGAUCCAAAUAGCCCACUUACGGAUCGACAGAUUGACCAGUUUUUAGUUGUAGCACGUGCUGUUGGGACAUUCGCCAGAGCCCUGGAUUGCAGCAGUUCUGUCAGGCAGCCUAGUCUGCAUAUGAGUGCUGCUGCAGCUUCCCGAGACAUCACCUUGUUUCAUGCUAUGGAUACAUUGUAUAGACACAGCUAUGAUUUGAGCAGUGCCAUUAGUGUCUUAGUACCACUCGGAGGACCUGUUUUAUGCAGAGAUGAAAUGGAGGAAUGGUCAGCCUCUGAAGCUAGCUUAUUUGAAGAGGCACUGGAAAAAUAUGGCAAAGACUUCAAUGACAUACGGCAAGAUUUUCUUCCUUGGAAAUCAUUGACUAGCAUCAUUGAAUAUUAUUACAUGUGGAAAACUACUGACAGAUAUGUGCAACAGAAACGUCUAAAAGCAGCAGAAGCUGAGAGUAAACUGAAACAAGUAUAUAUCCCAACUUACAGCAAACCAAAUCCCAACCAAAUAUCCACUAGUAAUGGGAAGCCUGGUGCUGUGAAUGGAGCUGUGGGGACCACGUUCCAGCCUCAGAAUCCUCUUUUAGGGAGAGCCUGUGAGAGCUGCUAUGCUACACAGUCUCACCAGUGGUAUUCUUGGGGCCCACCUAAUAUGCAGUGUAGAUUAUGUGCAAUUUGUUGGCUUUAUUGGAAAAAAUAUGGAGGCUUGAAAAUGCCCACCCAGUCAGAAGAAGAAAAGUUAUCUCCUAGCCCAACUACAGAGGACCCUCGUGUUAGAAGUCACGUGUCCCGCCAGGCCAUGCAGGGAAUGCCAGUCCGAAACACUGGGAGUCCAAAGUCUGCAGUGAAGACCCGCCAAGCUUUCUUCCUUCAUACUACAUAUUUCACAAAAUUUGCUCGUCAGGUCUGCAAAAAUACCCUCCGUCUGCGGCAGGCAGCAAGACGGCCGUUUGUUGCUAUUAAUUACGCUGCCAUUAGGGCAGAAUAUGCAGACAGACAUGCUGAACUAUCUGGAAGUCCACUGAAAAGCAAAAGCACUAGGAAGCCUUUGGCAUGUAUCAUUGGGUAUUUAGAGAUCCAUCCUGCAAAGAAACCUAAUGUAAUUCGAUCUACACCAAGCCUGCAAACCCCAACUACCAAGCGGAUGCUAACAACUCCAAAUCACACAUCUCUGAGCAUUCUGGGGAAAAGAAACUACAGUCAUCACAAUGGUCUGGAUGAGACAGAGUGAUGCUGUGUUGUCCAGACUGUCUUGAACUUCUGGCCUCAAGCCAUCCACCAGCCUUGGCCUCUCAAAGUGCUGGGAUUAUGGGCAUGAGCCACCACACCUGGCCUAGUCAUGAGGUUUUCUUUGACCUACUGCUGAACCUCCUUUCCCUGAAGAACUCAAGUGCUGUGUGUCAGACUGAGCUUUCCCUGAUUCAUUCUACAAUCCAAGACUUGCUGCACUGUCCUGCUGAUGUUCACAGUCGUGCCUGGGAAGAAGGCAGCCCCACUCCCAGUACAUUUCAGUGGGAGACCUCUGCGUGCAUCCAUGGAGACGCAAUGGGGCGGGGAAGGAACUGUGGGAGUGCACGUUCCAAAUCCUGUGUCUCCACGUGUGGAUCAGCAGCACCUCGCUUUCUUGUCAGAGACCUCGCUGUUACGGAGCGAGACCUGCUGAGAAUUGAGGGGCUGAGGGAACCCCUCCACCUCCUCCCUUCUGCAGCGCCCUGCGCCCCACCCAGCAACAGUGGCUGCUUGGCAGUGGGGCUGCUGCGAGCUCAGAGCCGCUGCUGCCCUGCAUGUGUCUGCUCAGCUCGGUCUUAUGCUGUAUAGUUACUAAAUAUGUACAGGAGGGCCACGGCAUCUUUCUGAAUGGAUUUUUCUUAAGAAGUGCGCCAGUGUUUAUGAGGUUCAUGGUAUUUCCCUGUCCUUGCUGUUACCGUCACUCAGCUUUUUCUCGAUAGGCUUCAUGCUUGUUUUUUUGAAAUGGGGGAAUUUGCUGUUUACCUUCUGCAUUCCUAUAUGUGACCCUCCCUCCUACUCCUCCAGGGAACAGAAUUACCCGAGGUCCUGACAAGAGAUAAGCCUGUAAACUCAUCAUCUGUGUUUUGUGGUCGGAGAGAAGCUGGUGUUCUGCCCGGCUCUGCUUGGUCACAGACAGCUCCAGCAAGAGCAGUUGUUAAAAGUGCCAAGCGUGUGUAUCACUGUGACCAGCCGUUUGCUUACUGCCCUGUUCCCUUGCAGCCAAACCAGCUGAUGAAGAACUGCUGCCAGGGGGGUCCCACAGCGGGUCACAAAUGACCUAGUUUCAUUUUAAGCAGACAGACUCUGUUUGGCCUAGAGGUGUUUGUGGGUAUGAGUCUGUGUGGCCAACCCCAUGACCCCCACCCCUCCAGCCCAACAUCCUGUGAGCACGUGUGACCUAGGCCCCGGGGGACCUGCCUGCUCCUCUGGCUUGGGCUCUUCGCGUUUCCCACCUGCCCUCGGCACCAGCCCGUGGUGGCAUCACAGUCGGCCACUCAGCUGUGCUGAGUAGCUGUGCUACUUGUGCUGGCAGCUGCAAGGAUAGGAAUAGCUCAGCGCCCGAUGAGCUCCCUGAGCAGAUGUGAGGCUGGCAACUCCCCUGCCCUCUGUUUGCAGGCACAGGGUCACAGUCCCAUGAAAGACAACUGGAGUCUGAUCUCCCAGCCAUCUCUGGGGUUACUAGGAGGCAGCUGGAUGGCAGAUAACGAGAGGCCCAAAUAGCCAAGUUGUUGUGAGACAGAGUGGCUACAAUUGAAUUGACCCCCUGGGAAGAACGAGAUAACACGGUAAGGAUAAUGAUGCUCUAGAUGUCUGUGUCCUCGGAGGCUGGGCUCCGCUUGGUAGAGAGAGCGUGCUGUGUGAGGUGGAGGGCGGUUUUGCAGACAUCUCAGCUUCUUUUCUGAGGAGGAGUUGGUUCUCAUCUUAGGCUUCUGCAAGGGUGAGCAUGGGACGUCUCCACCACCACCCACUCUUGGAGCUGUACUGGGUCUUGGCUUGGGGCCCUGAGGGUGGGGCCUGUGUCAGAAGCAUUUGGUGAGACGGGUGGAGGUGGCAGGCAGGGGUUCUCCUCAGGGUUCCCACUGAGGGGUCCCUUCAGCAAAGACAUGGGAGAAGGUGCCGCAGGAAGAAACGUGGGAUGUUUCUUCCCUAAAGAAACAGACACAGGAAAGCUGUCUGUCUGUACCCCGCUCUGGAUUUAUUGUCAUACUUGGACCCAGAAGGGGAAAUGAUUCCCUCACCCUUUCACUUUCUUUCUGAACCCCUAUUAAGUGGUGACUGCAGAUUCUGGAAACAAUUAGCUGCCCGUGACUCAGCUGCCAGCUCCAUUUUCUCUGCCUUUUGGGAGAGGCCCUCUCACCCAGGCCCAAGAGAUUUGGAGACAGGAGUCAGGCCAGGUCUGAAGCAGGAGAAGGGAGGCCCCUCCUAUCUACCCAGUUGACAUUUGGCUUUGGGAAAAGUGCAGCUUGUUCGAGCCACGUGUGCCAAGCAGGCUUUUCCUUCCUCUUGUAAGUAAAGCUCGUGGUUCUGCAGUCCAAUCAUCCUAAGAGGAUGAUGUUGACUGAGACUUCACGCUCUCCCUUUGUCUCUGGAAACUGCCCCCUCGUUCUGACAGAAUCCCCCAGGCAAUAGAGGAAGGAUGCCAAGGCGCCUCUAGCCUGUGCCUUUGCCAUUGGAAGCAUUUGGUGCUGAGAGGGUUUCCCAGCCACCCUCUCCCUUUCUGGGGCCACCGUGUUGCUGCUGUGUGUCAGUGGCAUGUCACUGUGGUUCAGUGAGCACAUGGGUGGACGUGCAGAGGCUGUCUGCUCAGCCCCCAGCAGACAUGCCCCUGGGGUGAGGACACAGGCUCUGCAGGGCAUCUCCCCCUCCGGCUCAGUCAUCGCCUGCCCACCCUUCACUUCUUAAAGGUGCGCAAGAGAGGAGGGUCGACUGGAAGGUGUUGCCGGAAGUUUUCAGCCUGCCCUUCACAAUUCCCCUUGUGCACAGCCCAGUUUCCAUUGCUCAGGGCCCACCCAGGAAAAUGGAUUUCAAAUGGGGGUUUUCAUCUAGAGAUUUGUUUAACACAAAAGAAGAAAAGCUGAGAGGCAAAACAGGGGAGUGAGGGGCAACCCAGAGGUGGGGAACAACAACAGCAAGCCGCCCCCAUCCUGAGACUGGCUGGGCACCAGGUGAGGACGCGUCACCAGAGCCUGGGGCCAAGUCCACUGGGGGACCUGCCACACCGUGGACCUGUCUGGUGGGGGCUGGAGCCUUGAGAAGCCAUGGUUCUUGUCAGAAACAUUUCCCCAGGGGGAGAGAGGGGGCCCCGGCCUCUCCCCUCCUCUUGGCCUCCAGAGUCCUGCAGGUGCCUCACAAUAGUGAAACCCAGUUGGAAGCAGCUGCCCUGGGAGCCUGGGACAGGCGACCCACCGGGUCAGUCCCCUGCCACUCAGAGCAGAGCAGAGCAGAGCAGGGGGCUGAGGGCAAGCAGGUGGGCUGUGCGUGGCCUCAAUGCACUCGGUGUCAUGUCUGAGCCUGGUGUUCAUGCCCCACUGCUGUCCUAAGUCCCUGGCGAGGGGAGGUGGAGGAGCUGCCCCGUGGGUGUUUGGAGAUUCUGUUUUACUCUGCCUAGAGAGGAAACGGCUUUGGGGAGGGAGGGGGAAGCCCUUAUUCUUUACUGUUGUCCCUGUUUUCCUUUGGGGAAACAGUUACUCAGUUAGCAGCCCCUCCUCACCAUUCCCCCCAGGAAGGCCAUGUCCCAGUUUUCUGUCCACCCCUCCUGUUCCUCUGCACUGUGUCUCUGAUUUUCCCUGCCAGGGAAGCUAACCCAGAGCACGCACCCGUGCUCAUGAGUGUUUCCCCAGGAUAAUUCGUUCUGAGCAUGAUACCACAGUGUGGAUUGUCUGUCUGUAAGGAGAUGCCAUCUACUAACCAAUUUGUAUUGUGUUUCUAAUAAAUUCCUGGAAAUUUU